UUGAUGGACUGCUUAUUAGCAGAGACAGAGUACGUGAUGCACUUCUGGUGCUUGUUCAGGACGAUCAAUUUAUUGACAUGUUUUACAAAGCAUUGGUGAAGGUGCACCAUCCAUGAGUACCUUUAGAGAACUAGUGAGCUUCUUUCUGAAGAUUUUGCUGAGCCAAAAGUUAGGGGGAGGAUUGGAUCCCCCAUUACAGGUUAUGGUCAGGAAAGCAGAGAUCGUGUUGUACGCCAUUAUAUUCCUAACAAGAUUUGGACCAAUGAAGAUGGUGUAGAGCAUGUAGAGAUUAAUUUCUAUAUGCGCGGACCCCAUGGAGCUGGAAAAGUUUACACUGAGAUGUUCAAGGACCCAAUGAACAAGCAGUGGAAGUAUACGGAUUUGAUUGUUGUGAUCAUAUCACCAACUCUUUCACAAUUGAUUCUAGAGUCUUAUAUGCCGGCUUAUAACUUGGACACCAAGUAGUCAGAUUCUGACAAGGUUUCUUUAUGUACCAAAUAACAUGGAAAAAGUUACCAAUCUAGUGAUGUUAAUAGUUAUUCUUCUCAUUCUUAAUUUUAUGGGGAAACUUCCCAUACCGGCCGUAGGGGGUGGCCGAAACUACCUCCAAGCCUUUGGGGCUAGUCUGGCCACCCCCAAAAGCCCAAAACCAUGAAUGAAAUUUUUUUUUAAAAUAAAAAAAUAAAAAAAUAAUAAUUUUAAUGCCCAAAACGACGUCGUUUUGGGCUGGGGUGGGUGUUGUAGUUUUGUGGUGUUUUCGAAAUUUCAAGUGGACUGGAUGAGAGUAUAAUGGACAUAAAAUGUCAAACCGUUUGAAUUGAAUGUUGAAAACUAACAGAGGAGUUCAAAGCGAUAGAAAUUGAAAGUUUAGGGGUAUAAAGUGAGAGAUUUGAAAGUUCAGGAAGGUUUGCAAAAUCAGCUGGAAGUUCAGGGGGCCAAAGUGAAGUUUUUCCUAUAUAUAUAUAUAUAUAUAUAACUCUUUGGAAAGUGCUGAGUUUGAAUUUUGAAGUCCAAUUUUGUAUUUACUAGCAAGAAGAAUUGUGAUGAGAAUGUUUCAUACUUUUGUUGCGUAUGUAUCAAGUUGGGUAAGCUGAUUGUUUCAGGCUUAUCCACAUGUAUGACACUGAC